GAUGAACGCUGGCGGCGUGCCUAAUACAUGCAAGUCGAGCGAAUGGAUUAAGAGCUUGCUCUUAUGAAGUUAGCGGCGGACGGGUGAGUAACACGUGGGUAACCUGCCCAUAAGACUGGGAUAACUCCGGGAAACCGGGGCUAAUACCGGAUAACAUUUUAAACCGCAUGGCUCGAAAUUGAAAGGCGGCUUCGGCUGUCACUUAUGGAUGGACCCGCGUCGCAUUAGCUAGUUGGUGAGGUAACGGCUCACCAAGGCAACGACGCGUAGCCGACCUGAGAGGGUGAUCGGCCACACUGGGACUGAGACACGGCCCAGACUCCUACGGGAGGCAGCAGUAGGGAAUCUUCCGCAAUGGACGAAAGUCUGACGGAGCAACGCCGCGUGAGUGAUGAAGGCUUUCGGGUCGUAAAACUCUGUUGUUAGGGAAGAACAAGUGCUAGUUGAAUAAGCUGGCACCUUGACGGUACCUAACCAGAAAGCCACGGCUAACUACGUGCCAGCCGCCGCCGUAA
rnacentral:rRNA from 1 species